rnacentral:rRNA from 1 species
CGCGUGGGAAUAUGCCCUUCUCUAAGGAAUAGCCUCUGGAAACGGAGAGUAAUACCUUAUACGCCCUUUGGGGGAAAGAUUUAUCGGAGAAGGAUUAGCCCGCGUUAGAUUAGGUAGUUGGUGGGGUAAUGGCCUACCAAGCCUACGAUCUAUAGCUGGUUUGAGAGGAUGAUCAGCCACACUGGGACUGAGACACGGCCCAGACUCCUACGGGAGGCAGCAGUAGGGAAUCUUAGACAAUGGGGGCAACCCUGAUCUAGCCAUGCCGCGUGUGUGAUGAAGGCCCUAGGGUCGUAAAGC